UUCUAUUAACUCUGAUGAAUGGGCAGACCGUUUUGAGAGUCCUCCGACAUGGCAGGAUGACAUUACAGAUGACUGGGAAGGGAGCCAGCAGUACUCACUUCAUUCCACGUCAACAGAGGAUUCGGUCGAAUUAGUGCCGUUCAACCUUCUACUCGAACCACGAGAUAUUGAAUUUGAAGGACUAAGAAGUCUUGUUAGUCCUCCACAUUGGGAGGAUGACAAUGCA